rnacentral:lncRNA from 1 species
CUUGGCCAAGCCACACAAUCAGUGGGGCAGCCAGAGCUCAGACCUGAGCCAUUUUGUCAGUAUCCAGGACCCCCCGGAUUCUCCACGCCCUCCCCAUCUCCCAGUCUCCCUGCCCCCCAUGCCCCAGACCGGCCCACCAGGGACUAGCCGCUGUCGCACAGCCUCUGGGGUGCUUGGUCUCUGCGAAGUCAAAGGCCUGACAGCUCUGUGGCCUGGGAAUCCAUUUUCCUGCGGCAGAGCAGGGCCUGGUGUGGAACCAGGGAGCUGUGGGAAGCCACAGCAGAAAUGGAAGAAAAACAGGUCUCAGCCCAGGGUCC